rnacentral:rRNA from 1 species
CCGGAGCUUGCUCCACCGGAAAAAGAGGAGUGGCGAACGGGUGAGUAACACGUGGGUAACCUGCCCAUCAGAAGGGGAUAACACUUGGAAACAGGUGCUAAUACCGUAUAACAAUCGAAACCGCAUGGUUUUGAUUUGAAAGGCGCUUUCGGGUGUCGCUGAUGGAUGGACCCGCGGUGCAUUAGCUAGUUGGUGAGGUAACGGCUCACCAAGGCCACGAUGCAUAGCCGACCUGAGAGGGUGAUCGGCCACAUUGGGACUGAGACACGGCCCAAACUCCUACGGGAGGCAGCAGUAGGGAAUCUUCGGCAAUGGACGAAAGUCUGACCGAGCAACGCCGCGUGAGUGAAGAAGGUUUUCGGAUCGUAAAACUCUGUUGUUAGAGAAGAACAAGGAUGAGAGUAACUGUUCAUCCCUUGACGGUAUCUAACCAGAAAGCCACGGCUAACUACGUGCCAGCAGCCGCGGUAAUACGUAGGUGGCAAGCGUUGUCCGGAUUUAUUGGGCGUAAAGCGAGCGCAGGCGGUUUCUUAAGUCUGAUGUGAAAGCCC